GGCAAAGUGGUCGCUUUCUGCGGGGGCAGUCCUUGACGGCUGGCCCCAAUGGAAGAGGAAAGUCCGAGCUCCAGAGGGCAGGACGCUCCGUAACCCGGAGCGGGGGUAACCCCAGGGAAAGUGCCACAGAAAACAGACCGCCAUGGUUUUGGGACAUGGCAAGGGUGAAAAGGUGAGGUAAGAGCUCACCGCUUCCGAUGGCGACAUCGGGAGGCACGGUAAACCCCGUCCGGAGCAAGGUUGAAUAGGUCCCGCUCCUUGAGUUGCCCGUUCAAUAUGCGGGACGGGUACAACCGCACAAUACAGAUAGCAAUAUCUGUAUUAAGAUGAAUGACCACAUUUAACAGAACUCGGCUUAUUGCCUGC
rnacentral:RNase_P_RNA from 1 species